rnacentral:tRNA from 1 species
GGGAAUGUGGCUCAGCUGUAGAGUGUUUGCCUGGCAUGCAUGAAGCCCUGGGUUCAAUUCCUCAGUGCCA